rnacentral:lncRNA from 1 species
GCCGCGAAAUUAUUUUUCCCACCAUAUUUCUGGACCAAAAUACGAACUCAUUUGCAUACAGCCAAUCAGAGACGAUUGUUUUUUCCUCUCGAUUUUUCGUCUUCGAAGUACGCAUGCGCAUGGACUUUACGAACUAACUAAAAAGUUUUGGGCAGCGACGAGCUAGUUCAGAAAUCAACUUGAAGUUGAAUAGAUCUUCUUUCUGGACAAAAUGUCCAACAUUGUGUUGUGCUCGCAUUCGACAGAGGCAGAGCCAGAUCCUGAACAAGUACGCUGGUUAGAGGUAGCCCAUGUACAUGUAAACAUCAAUACCUACAUGUAGUUGUCAAGAAGUUCGACAUCCGUUGCUGCUGGAACUUCAUUUCUGCCAAUGAUGUACCACUGAGGAAACUGUUGUACAAGGUGGCCACAGGCUGUGCAAAUGCCCCAGAAGAAUGGUUUAUCUCUUUGAACCAUCAAAGUGGACCAAAACAAGCAGAAACCAACUUGAUAAUGGAGUCCAUAAGCAAUACAACUUAUGAAAAUGAUGGUAUUGAUGAACACAGCAUGGACUCGAUGAACGAUGGGGAAAACAGAAAUGAAGAAGCUGUCUGCACAGAUGUUGAGAUUUCAGACAAUGGACACGAUGCUGUUACGAAUCCAUGGCUAGCAAGUUUACACUUGCAACACUCUCUUCAAAACCAAUUUGAUACACGCGGUUGCACAUCAAAAUGAAGUGCUGAGAAUGGAAGUGACCCAAUACUCAAUGAGCUAAACAAGGGAUUUCUUGCUUUACAGCAAAGCUACAUAGGAGACUAAGAAUUCCUUGGAGGACCAGUACAUAAAUUCACCAAGAAACUUCUGAAACUAAAUUCUAGAACGAAUACUGGGUUAGCUUCCAUGCUUGAACCCCCAUUCCACAUAGAACAAGACCGCUGUAAGACCUCAACAAUCUUAUGUCUUUCAGUGGUCUCCAUUCUGUGGAAUGGGGGCCUUACUCUGGGGUGGCAGGUGCUCUUGGCAAGAAAAAAAAAUCUCUAGUCAGUAUGCAGACAAUUGGUGUUCAGCCAACUGCAUGAUCUAGGAGAAAGAUGGUUGGUGGUGGCAGAAACCGCAUUGGUGCUGGCAGACCGUCAAAGGAUUGUUUGAAAACCAGGAAAGAAACUGCCGUUCAGUUCUCAGCGUAUUCCUAGACGCAAAGCAUAACGUUAGUGAAUGUGUUACAAAAUAAUCAAUCUCUUGGUAAAGCACAUUCUACAAAGUAAUGGCCGAGCUCUAUUGAAAUAACUACCCUUAGUGAUAUUUUCCUUUCAUGACUUCUAAGAAUGUUUUUGUUUUUAAUUGUUAAAAGAAUGAAUUGGCAAGUACAUACUGUACAUGUUUGUCAUGUCAUUAUGAUGAAGUCUUGGACACUCCCCCCCCCCCCUUUCAUCUAACAUGCAGUUUUAUUAAAUAACUAUUAAAGUGUCAUGUCUCGAGAUGUACUUCACUUUUAUAUGCUAUUUAUGAUACAAAUAUUGUUUUUUUUAUUUGAGUUUGAUAUUUACUCUUGCGUGUUAGUAUAAUAAUUGACAUGCUUGGUAACAGCGGAAAUACUUUUUUUUACCCAUACCCUACUUUUUUAUGAGUAUGCCAAAGAGCAAUAUUUCAAAGUGUGGCAUGAAAUCUGGUAGUCAUGGAGAAGAGAUUAAGAACAGGCCUUUAGAGCCAGAUCAAUAUAGUUGAACAAAAUGAGAUUUCAAAACUUUUUUUAGAAGUUUAUUUCAGUAAGGUGAUUCAGAGAAAUUAAAGUAAUUUUGGAACACAGCAUGCAUGUUGUAUUGUCCAGGUAGCGGUAAAUUUUUAACAUUGAGAAACCAAGUUGCCAAUUUGAGAUUUGUAUACAUGUCGUGUUCUUAUUUUUCAAAGUGCCCUUUAAUACAUGUACUUCUCAUUCCUUGUCGAAAUUUCCUUCAAACUUUCAUGCUCAUUUUUAUCUUUUUAUUCUCCCUUCACAUAAAUCUCAUUAUUACUAAAGUAUGAUCCCUGAAUAAAUGGUAAGCGGAUUUAGGGACACUUGUAAAAUUUACUAAUGACUGCUUUUGCCCACAAAAAUUAGUAUUAAAAUUUGUUGAAAUAAUAAUGAAAUUUUUAAAUAGAUUUAUUCAUUUUUUAUAUCCCCCAAAUGUGGAAAAAGGUUCAUUUAAACAUGUUAGUAUAUGGCAGGCAAUGAAUGGUGACAUAAGUGACUAGAUAUAUCAUUACCCAAGAAUAGCCCAAUCAGUGAACAGCAUCGCACAUAAUGGUCAAUUUUGAAUUCGAUUAAAAUUCAAGGACACUCCAAAUUUUGUCUUGAUGUUUAGCUGAUUAUAAACAUACAUUUCUCAAACCAGCAGUUAAGAUUUUAAGCACCCUCUAUCCCACUACUGAAAUCCUCUUUGAAUACUUAUGAUUUUUUCUCGAAUUAUUUUAUCUUUUAGCAUUUUCACAUGUCACACUUGUUCACAAAUAUUUAUGGGUGGACCAUGGAUGCCACAAAAUUGUAACGAAUAAUAAUUAUUUAUGUUGAGAAUUUUUGGACCUGCAGAGUUUGAUUUUU